rnacentral:rRNA from 1 species
GACGUAGGGCGCGAGCGUUGUCCGGAUUUACUGGGUUUAAAGGGUGCGUAGGUGGGUAGGUAAGUCAGUGGUGAAAUCUUCGAGCUUAACUCGGAAACUGCCAUUGAUACUAUCUGUCUUGAAUACUUUGGAGGUAAGCGGAAUAUGUCAUGUAGCGGUGAAAUGCUUAGAUAUGACAUAGAACACCAAUUGCGAAGGCAGCUUACUACACAGUCAUUGACACUGAGGCACGAAAGCGUGGGGAUCAAACAGG